rnacentral:rRNA from 1 species
AUUGAACGCUGGCGGCAGGCUUAACACAUGCAAGUCGAGCGAGCGGCGGACGGGUGCGUAAUGUCUGGGAAACUGCCUGAUGUAGGGGGAUAACUACUGGAAACGGUAGCUAAACCCCCAUACCAUCAGUUGUGCCCAGAUGGGAUUAGCUAGUAGGUGGGGUAAUGGCUCACCUAGGCGACGAUCCCUAGCUGGUCUGAGCGGAGGACCGGCAACACUGGAACUGAGACACGGUCAAAACUCCUACGGGGGGCAGCAGUGGGGAAUAUUGCACAAGGGGGGGAAGCCUGAGGCGGACAUGCCGCGGGGAUGAAGAGGGCCUACGGGUUGAAAAGUAUGUUCAGCGGGGAGGCGUUACCCGCAGAAGAAGCACCGGCUAACUACGUGCCAGCAGCCGCGGUAAUUC